CCUACGGGAGGCAGCAGUGAGGAAUAUUGGUCAAUGGACGAGAGUCUGAACCAGCCAAGUCGCGUGAGGGACGACUGCCCUAUGGGUUGUAAACCUCUUUUAUAAGGGAAGAAAAAGAGGUACGUGUGGCAUGAUGCAUGUACCUUAUGAAUAAGGAUCGGCUAACUCCGUGCCAGCAGCCGCGGUAAUACGGAGGAUGCGAGCGUUAUCCGGAUUUAUUGGGUUUAAAGGGUUCGUAGGUGGGUUUUUAAGUCAGUGGUGAAAGUUUGGGGCCUUCCCGUUAAUUUGCAAUUCAUACUGGCAGUCUUGAGUUCAGUUGAGGUAGGCGGAAUCCGUUGUGUAGCGGUGAAAUGCUUAGAUAUCACUUAGAACCCCGAUUGCGAAGGCAGCUUACCAGACUGCGCCUGACGUUGAUGCACGAUAGUGUGGGUAUCGAACAGGAUUAGAUACCCUAGUAGUC
rnacentral:rRNA from 1 species